rnacentral:rRNA from 1 species
GACGAACGCUGGCGGCGUGCUUAACACAUGCAAGUCGAACGGAAAGGCCCUGCUUUUGUGGGGUGCUCGAGUGGCGAACGGGUGAGUAACACGUGAGUAACCUGCCCUUGACUUUGGGAUAACUUCAGGAAACUGGGGCUACUACCGGAUAGGAGCUCCUGCUGCAUGGUGGGGGUUGGAAAGUUUCGGCGGUUGGGGAUGGACUCGCGGCUUAUCAGCUUGUUGGUGGGGUAGUGGCUUACCAAGGCUUUGACGGGUAGCCGGCCUGAGAGGGUGACCGGCGACAUUGGGACUGAGAUACGGCCCAGACUCCUACGGGAGGCAGCAGUGGGGAAUAUUGCACAAUGGGCGGAAGCCUGAUGCAGCAACGCCGCGUGCGGGAUGACGGCCUUCGGGUUGUAAACCGCUUUCGCCUGUGACGAAGCGUGAGUGACGGUAAUGGGUAAAGAAGCACCGGCUAACUACGUG